rnacentral:rRNA from 1 species
AUUGAACGCUGGCGGCAGGCCUAACACAUGCAAGUCGAACGAGUGGCGGACGGGUGAGUAAUGUCUGGGAAACUGCCUGAUGGAGGGGGAUAACUACUGGAAACGGUAGCUAAUACCGCAUACCAUCGGAUGUGCCCAGAUGGGAUUAGCUAGUAGGUGGGGUAAAGGCUCACCUAGGCGACGAUCCCUAGCUGGUCUGAGAGGAUGACCAGGCAGACAGAAACUGAGACACGGUCCAGGAUCCAAAGGGAGGCAGCAGUGGGGAAUAUUGCAAAAUGGGGGAAAGCCUGAUGCAGCCAUGCCGCGUGAAUGAAGAAGGCCUUCGGGUUGUAAAGUACUUUCAGCGGGGAGGCGUUACCCGCAGAAGAAGCACCGGCUAACUCCGUGCCAGCAGCCGCGGUAAUAC